GGUCUCCUGGUGUAAUGGUUUGAGCAUUGGACUAUGAAUCUAGAGACCAGGGUUCAAAUCCUGGCACGGCCA